rnacentral:rRNA from 1 species
CUACGGGUUGCUGCAGUGGGGAAUAUUGCACAAUGGGCGCAAGCCUGAUGCAGCCAUGCCGCGUGUAUGAAGAAGGCCUUCGGGUUGUAAAGUACUUUCAGCGGGGAGGAAGGGAGUAAAGUUAAUACCUUUGCUCAUUGACGUUACCCGCAGAAGAAGCACCGGCUAACUCCGUGCCAGCAGCCGCGGUGAAUACGGAGGGUGCAAGCGUUAAUCGGAAUUACUGGGCGUAAAGCGCACGCAGGCGGUUUGUUAAGUCAGAUGUGAAAUCCCCGGGCUCAACCUGGGAACUGCAUCUGAUACUGGCAAGCUUGAGUCUCGUAGAGGGGGGUAGAAUUCCAGGUGUAGCGGUGAAAUGCGUAGAGAUCUGGAGGAAUACCGGUGGCGAAGGCGGCCCCCUGGACGAAGACUGACGCUCAGGUGCGAAAGCGUGGGGAGCAAACAGGAUUAGAUACCCCGGUAGUC